rnacentral:rRNA from 1 species
UACAGAGGUCUCAAGCGUUGUUCGGAUUCAUUGGGCGUAAAGAGCGUGUAGGCGGCUUGGUAAGUCCGCUGUGAAAGUCCAGGGCUCAACCCUGGAAUGCCGGUGGAAACUGUCAAGCUUGAGUCCGGAAGAGGCGAGUGGAAUUCCUGGUGUAGCGGUGAAAUGCGCAGAUAUCAGGAGGAACACCGGUGGCGAAGGCGCUCAUCUGGCCCAAUACUGACGCUGAGGCGCGAAAGCUAGGGGAGCAAACGGG